rnacentral:ribozyme from 14 species
GGUUUUUCCCUUUUUUAUUAGUAUUAUUAUUCUCAUUUCACAUCUGUAUUUGGAUGAUUAUAUGAGAAAGAGAACACUGGAUGAAAUGAAUGAUAUGA